ACAAUUAACAGGAUCAUUAAGAAAGUCGAUCAGAGUCUUGGCUGCUGCUCAGAACAGAUUCAAAAAUUGCAAAUUAAACAACCUUUUCUUUAUGCAGCCUGACCUUUGCAACAACUGCUGAAAAUUAUUAUUUGUACCUUACAAAUGACAUAAUCAGGAUGGUGAGGUGGUUUGCCACUGUUUAAUAAUCUUUAAGCAGAUCAAAUUUUAGUGAUACCAAAGAAGGGAAAUCGGGGCCAGAGAUUUUCAAAGUAUGAUUCUGGACCAAGGGCUGAGCAUCCUCUGGAAUGGGAUACAAGAUGAGCAUUUGCAUCUUCGGGCUCAGUCUCUGAUGAUACACUUGGUACAGCUAACUGGACUGUACCAAGCCACGCCUGUGAUUGUGACUCACAAUACUGUUUGAGAACCAGGGUUUGGGCAAGAAAGUGAAUAAAGGAAGAGACUUGAAUUUUAAAAUCAACUAACCAACCAACCUUCCAUUUUUCUUCAGUACUAUUGCAAGCCAUUGGUGGAUUUAGAGUGAUGUAUUAAAAAAGACAGUCUGUAAAACUUCCAUGGAAAACCUGAACAACAGGAUGCUUAGAAGAGAAUGGGCAAAGCACAUUUGGUUUUUACUCAGGUGGCUAGAGGUGUGUGCAGCUACAGCAACCCUGAUCUCAAAUCUGAGAAUCAGGAUGAUGCCCUUGCAAAUGUUCAAGUCCUCUUACUCAACAGUGGCCAAACACUGGAGCUUCAAGUCUUCGUUUUUUAAUACUGAGCUUAAUAAAACUUAAUUUACUUUUCAUCCACUUUGUGGAACAAUAAAACUUUCAAUAAUACUA